AGACGGGCUCUGCCAUCAACCUGCAGCUCCUCCUGAGCUGCGGCUCUUCCCGCUCUGCCCCCAACACAAGGAGAGCCCCGACUUGGGAGGAGGGCUUUUCAGAUCGCAGCUUGGCCUGAGGCAGAGCCAGAGCGAUGAGGUCACCCAGCACAGCUGCUAACUAUUUCAAGGAAACAGAACCGUGGUCUCAGCCCUGGCUGCAUAUUCCUUCAACGGGAGGGCUUUAGAAAUGCUGUGCCAGAGCUGCACCCCAGACCAACAAAAUCAGACUCUCCAGGAUGCGGCCAAGGCAUCAGUAUGUGGAAAGCUUUCAGGAAAACUGAGCAAAAUGAAAGCCAAUUCAAAGAAGAAGGAAUUAAGUACAUAAUUGUGCAGAUGAUACAUGGAAAUGGUAAGAAUGGUGACAAUGGGACGUAAGUGACUGAAAUUUGGGAUACAUUGGAUUAGAAGAAAAUAAGCCCCCAAGAAACCGGAAUAAGUCUGGAGGGCAGCAAGAGUGACUGUCCAGCUAAGAACCUCAUCAGCAAUACAAAACAUUGUCACAGAUGUUGAAACAGACCCUGAGGUUAAUGCAUUCUUUCCAACAUUAGGUCCUAAAACUUCUCCUGAAAAGCUACCUUAAAUCUAACUUUUGAAAGUGCACAAUAAAGGUGAAUUAAAUAAAA
rnacentral:lncRNA from 1 species